rnacentral:tRNA from 1 species
CCCAAGUGGCUCGAAUGGUAAAGAAUCUGCCUACAAUGCAGAAAAUCUGGGUUCGAUUCCCUGGGUUGGGA